ACCCUGUGAACAGCAGCAGAGCAUGGCAAGAAAAAGACCAGAGAGCUUCCGCUCUGCUGUCCACGGGGUCACUGGGACUUGGAAUUGCCUCCACAGCACUAACAACAACAAAAACUCUUAGAAAAUAGUUGCAAAAACUGAAACACUGCGCUGUGAGUUUCCUUGCCAUUCACAGCCAAAAUUCCUUACUUUUUUUGCAUAACCACAUCUCUGUCUGAUCUAAGCAAUAUUAAGAAACAAUAACAAACAAACAAAACACAAAACCAAAACAACCAGCACCAAGUCACUCCACAGCUGUCCCCUGUGACCACACGCAUGCCAAGCAUAGUUGGUGGGGCCGGUCUGGCCACCACGGAGAGAGAGAAGUCCUGAUGAGAUCCAGCGAAGGAAACCCGAGACGGCUCUAGGGGGAGACCGAGGCAGCCAGGAGGAGCAGGGGUGCCCGUGUGAGGCCCAUGUGCACAGCUGCAGCGCCGGACACACAACGCUGCCCACACAUCUGCAGGCUGCAAACAUGAACGCCACUGGAGGGGGUCCCCUAAGGCUGAUGGAAACACUCGGGAGAGAGAGGGGAUGCUCCCGGCCCACCACGUGAGUGGUCUGACCGCCCGUCGCUGUCUGACCAGGCCUGG
rnacentral:lncRNA from 1 species